CCCUUAGAUGUUCUGGGCCGCACGCGUGCUACACUGAGUGGAUCAGCGGGUCAGGUUACGCGAGAGCGUUUCCUAAUCUUCAAAUCCGCUCGUGAUGGGGAUUGACGGUUGCAAUUUUCCGUCAUGAACGAGGAAUACCUUGUAAGCGCGGGUCAUCAUCCCGCGCUGAAUACGUCCCUGCCCUUUGUACACACCGCCCGUCGCUCCUACCGAUUGAGUGGUCCGGUGAGGCUUUGGGAUCUAAGCGAAAAGAGCGUUUCGCUCCUUUUGCUGGGAGAACUCAGUCGAACCUUAUCAUUUAGAGGAAGGUGAAGUCGUAACA
rnacentral:rRNA from 1 species